CGGGGCGUAGCGCAGCCUGGUUAGCGCACCAGACUGGGGGUCUGGGGGUCGCUGGUUCGAAUCCAGUCGCCCCGACCA
rnacentral:tRNA from 1 species